rnacentral:rRNA from 1 species
UACGUAGGGGGCAAGCGUUAUCCGGAUUUACUGGGUGUAAAGGGAGCGUAGACGGCGAUGCAAGCCAGAUGUGAAAGCCCGGGGCUCAACCCCGGGACUGCAUUUGGAACUGUAUAGCUAGAGUGUCGGAGAGGCAGGCGGAAUUCCUAGUGUAGCGGUGAAAUGCGUAGAUAUUAGGAGGAACGCCAGUGGCGAAGGCAGCCUGCUGGACGAUGACUGACGUUGAGGCUCGAAAGCGUGGGGAGCAAACAGG